rnacentral:tRNA from 1 species
AGAAGUUUAGGUUAAACCCAGACCGAGAGCCUUCAAAGCUCUAAGCAAGUAGCAUAUACUUAACUUCUG